AUGAUUCCACGGAGAAACCCAAACCCCUCUCCGAACCCAGGACUGCUCCCUCGGCGGCGGCGCGUUGAGAUGGCUGACGGCACGGAGAGCGAGCAGGCCGCGGUCGUGGGGGACGGGAACCCUUCGCAGUUGUCUAAGAGCGCGAAGAAGAAGCUGCUGAAGCAGGAGCGGCAGGCGGCGCGGAAGGCCGAGCGGAAGGCGGGGGAGAAGGAGCGCCGGCGCGCCGACAUAGAGCGGCGGAGGCGCGAGUGGGAGGAGUCUCUGGCCGCGGCACCCUCGCAGGAGGCGCGCGAGGCGAUGCUGGCCGCGCGCAGGGAGACGCGACUCGAGCGGGUGGGAAAGCGCGUGGAGGAGCGGGGCGCGCGCGCCGAGAGGCUCCGGCGCGCCGCCGAGGGUGGGCAGAAGGUGGUGCUCGACCUCGAGUUCGCGGACCUCAUGCGGCCCAACGAGAUUCACAGCCUCACGCAGCAGAUUAUGUACUGCUAUGCAGUGAACGGGAGAUCAGCAACCCCGGCUCAUCUCUGGUUGACAGGUUGCAGCGGAGAAAUGGGGACCCAGGUUCAGAGGAUACCUGGCUUUGAUAAGUGGAUCAUAGAAAAAGAAGCCAAGUCUUAUCUUGAAGCAUUUGCAGACUGUAAAGAAAAUCUUGUGUAUCUGACAGCGGAUGCUGAGACUGUCCUUGAUGAUCUCGACAUGUCGAAAAUAUACAUCAUUGGUGGUCUAGUGGAUCGUAACAGAUGGAAAGGCAUAACACAGAAGAAGGCAGUUGAUCAGGGCAUUCAGUCUGCCAAGCUCCCCAUUGGAAAUUAUUUAAAGAUGUCAAGUUCUCAGGUUCUUACAGUCAACCAAGUGUUUGAGAUAAUGCAAAAGUUUGUGGAAACAAAGGACUGGAAGACGGCAUUCUUUCAUGUGAUCCCACCGAGGAAACGAGGAGAAGCUGGAGCAGCAAAUGAUGAUGAUUCACCUGAGGGGGCUGCAAACGGAGAUCUUGACAAGUGUUUAGAAGAGGAGGUUGAUGAUGAUGACGAUGAUGGUGAUGGGGAUGAAGAAGCCGAUGUUGCUAACAAAAGACAUUGUUUUAGAAGUGAAAAUGGAAAAUCUUAG
rnacentral:rRNA from 1 species